UACGGAGGAUGCGAGCGUUAUCCGGAUUUAUUGGGUUUAAAGGGUGCGUAGGCGGAAGAUUAAGUCGGUGGUGAAAUUUUACAGCUCAACUGUAACAGUGCCAUUGAUACUGGUUUUCUUGAGUAUGGAUGAAGUAGGCGGAAUUUGUGGUGUAGCGGUGAAAUGCAUAGAUAUCACGAGGAACUCCGAUUGCGCAGGCAGCUUACUAAACCAUAACUGACGCUCAGGCACGAAGGCGUGGGGAUCAAACAGGAUUAGAUACCCCGGUA
rnacentral:rRNA from 1 species